rnacentral:rRNA from 2 species
UACGUAGGGUCCGAGCGUUGUCCGGAAUUAUUGGGCGUAAAGGGCUCGUAGGCGGUUUGUUGCGUCGGGAGUGAAAACCAGGUGCUUAACACCUGGCCUGCUUUCGAUACGGGCAGACUAGAGGCAUUCAGGGGAGAACGGAAUUCCUGGUGUAGCGGUGAAAUGCGCAGAUAUCAGGAGGAACACCGGUGGCGAAGGCGGUUCUCUGGGAAUGUUCUGACGCUGAGGAGCGAAAGUGUGGGGAGCGAACAGG